UCUUAACCAAGCUUGUUGAAGAAAGGAGACAUAAUCCUAGCCAAUGCCACCAGCAACAUGGACCAUGAUAUUAGACUUUGUAAUUGUUUUGUAUUUUAUCGUAUCAUAAUUGUGUCUAUAUUGUUUUAUGUGAAUGCUUUAUUUUUUUAUACAAACUAAUAUUAAAUAUUUUAAAAAUAUUAGAUAUAGAUAAAUUACAUUUAAGGCUAUUAAACUAUUAGAAAUUUAUAUUUUGGUCACUUAACUUGAAAAAUUUACAAAAUGGUAAUUGAAUUAUUUAAAAGUUUUCAUUUAAGUUAUUAGACCGUUAAAAUCGCCUUUGUAUGGCAUUCUCCGUUCGCACUUUCAACACCAAUUGAAAACUCUCUUUUCCUUAUCUUUUACAAUUUAAUUUUUUUUUAUGAAACAAAUUUAAACAUCAUAAAUUUGCGAACUAAAAUCUAAAUAGUUUUUUUCUAUGAUUUUCGACAUUAAACAAUUCAUUGGCUAGAUCAGAUCUAGUUGAGGCUCAACUCCAAAUAAAAUUUUAGCAUGAGCUUAAACUUGGCUCACCGUUGAAAUGGGUCAUUUCACUGUUAAAAAAUAAUAAUUUUACUUUUUAUUUAAAUUCAAUUAAAAUAUAUAAGUUCAAAUAUAAAUUUAUUUUUUUAUAUUUUUUUAUUAUUUCUAAACAGUAAAAUGGGUCGAACCGCACCUCUAUUUCGGACCACAUCAAUCUCGCUUGAAAUCCUAUUAUAAGCGUAUCUGUAUCUGUGUGGAAACCAUAAGCUUAGAGCAUAAAUAUGUGCUUAAAAGUAAAAUACAAUAAAUAAUGAAACGUAUAGUUUAAAAUUAAUUAAUCAUAAUAACACAUUAAAUAUGUAUGAUAUUAAAAUAAAAAAUUAAAUUGUGAGUAAAACAUAUAAAUACAUCAUAAAUAAUAUUAAAUGCAUUACAAUUAUCAACAGGGAUCGCAACACUUAACAAAGACUCAAAGCAUCGGAGUUUAAGUUUCAGAUACUGUGUUUUUCGUUUUAUCAAUAGGGAUUCCAACAAAGUUGCUCACUUUAUCGCGAGUGAAGGACUCAAAAAGGGAGACACUACUUAUCUGAUGAAUAGGGUUCCUUCUGGGGCGAAGGCCGUGGCGGAUGAGGAGCGGAGGUGGACGGAGCUCUUGAGAGAGAUGAGGGGCUGGAUUGUUGAAGAAGAAAUGGGAAGUGCUCUUGAAGAAAGCUAACGUUUGGAAUUUUCAAGAAGGGAAGCAUGUUUCCAGAGAGCAGGUGAAUUCAAAUUGCUGUUGAUGGAUGAAAGUGGCGGAUGAUAAUUAUGAAUAGGUGUUACUUCCCAGGCGGUGUCGUUACUUUCAAAAGGGGGAUAUUUGUUGGAUUACAGCUGGGAAGCAAGGUCUUAGAGCUUUCCCGUCUAUUCGUCUGCAGGGUCUUUGAUGGUUUGGGCUGAUUUUAUUUUGUGUUUUUGUCUGCUUUCGGUUUUGUUCUGGACGACUUUGUCUUGUUUUGGUUUGGUUUUGUAUGAGUUAAUGACGGGUAACUCAGUUAACAACAUUAUUAAUAUCUACAACUAAUGGAGAUAAUAACUUCUACAUAUUAAAGUAAACAUGC
rnacentral:lncRNA from 1 species